rnacentral:tRNA from 1 species
AUUGUUAUAGCUCAGUGGUAGAGUACUUGCCUCGAAUGCAUGAGACCCUGGGUUCAAUCCUCAGCACCACAUA